AACCCUUGUCAUUAGUUGCUACAUUCAGUUGGGCACUCUAAUGAGACUGCCGGUGACAAGCCGAGGAAGUGGGGAUGACGUCCAAGUCCUCAUGGCCCUUAUAGUGGGGCUACACACGUCAUACAAUGGCUGGUACAAAGGGUUGCAACCGCAGGGGGAGCCAAUCCCAUAAAGCCAGUCGUAGUCCGGAUCGUAGUCUGCAACUCGACUACGUGAAGUCGGAAUCGCUAGUAAUCGUGGAUCAGAAUGUCACGGUGAAUACGUUCCCGGGUCUU
rnacentral:rRNA from 1 species